rnacentral:rRNA from 1 species
UACGGGAGGCAGCAGUGGGGAAUAUUGCACAAUGGGCGCAAGCCUGAUGCAGCCAUGCCGCGUGUAUGAAAAGGCCUUCGGGUUGUAAAGUACUUUCAGUCGUGAGGAAGGUGUUAAGGUUAAUAACCUUAGCAAUUGACGUUAGCGACAGAAGAAGCACCGGCUAACUCCGUGCCAGCAGCCGCGGUAAUACGGAGGGUGCGAGCGUUAAUCGGAAUUACUGGGCGUAAAGGGCACGCAGGCGGUUAAUUAAGUUGGAUGUGAAAUCCCCGGGCUUAACCUGGGAAUGGCAUUCAAGACUGGUUAGCUAGAGUCUUGUAGAGGGGGUAGAAUUCCAUGUGUAGCGGUGAAAUGCGUAGAGAUGUGGAGGAAUACCGGUGGCGAAAGGCGGCCCCUGGACAAAGACUGACGCUCAUGUGCGAAAAGCGUGGGGAGCAAAACAGGGAUUAGAUACC